ACCAGUGAGUCAUUGGGCGGA
rnacentral:miRNA from 1 species